rnacentral:pre_miRNA from 1 species
CUUGUACUCCCUCCGUCCGUAAAUACUUGUCAUUGAAAUGGAUGUAUCUAGAUGUAUUUUAGUUCUAGACACAUCCAUUUUGAUGACAAGUAAUUCCGAACGGAGGGAGUACUUG